rnacentral:tRNA from 1 species
GGAGAGGUGUCCGAGUGGCCGAAGGAGCUUGUCUCGAAAACAAGUGUACUCUCUGGGUACCGCGGGUUCAAAUCCCGCUCUCUCCGCCA